ensembl:processed_transcript
CAGCCAUUUUCUCCUACAUUGGGACUCAAUGGUCAAAAUGGGUUUCCUUUGUUCCUAAAGGGAUCUAAAUCUUGAUUUCAUCAGCCUUUUAUGGACUAUUUAAUACAUACAGUGUUUCUGUUUGCAGGAUCUGAGAAGAAGGAAGAUGAAAUGUUGGAUGAUAUCCCUUUGACAUUUUUACACUUUUUUUCUCUUCCUGGAAACCAUCUUUGUCCCAGCAAACUAGGUCAUGGCACACCCAUAUAACAGUAUUUUAUUCUUUAGUCAAAUGCUACCGAAUAAAAAUUUUGUAUUUUGAUUUUAUAUUACUAACUAGGAUGUUUAGAAAAAGAAAGAAAGAAAAACACAUGAAAAUUGCCAACUGCUUUUAAGGCCCUGCCUUGCUUAGGGCCAAUCAUUAAUCAAUAACAAACAAGGCAGGCCAAAGAGAAAAAAGGACGAUUGGCCUUUUACAAAAAUGCUGAAUCACAGACAGAAUGACAAGAGAAAUUCACUCGUCCUUCACCACUGAGAGGGAUUUCCUUUCUCUUUACGAAGGUAAUAGUUUAAACGACCUUAUUUCACACACACAAAAUUGGGAAUGUUUGUUUAAACGUUUUACAUUUAAAGUCACAUUUGCCUUUAAGUACAAUUAUUGUUUCCUCACUGUGUAUUUUUAUUAUUUGUUUAAAAAAUAGACAGAUAAAGGUGUAAAAAUUAUUAUUCUAAACACCUCUCAUUGCUGACCCAUGUCCAGGCGACCUCAGAAAUAGCCUGUUGUUUAAUGGCUUGUCUGCUGUUCUCAUUUUCAACAUGGCGUCUUCACAAGGACAUCAUUGUGGAAAGGAAAGCUUGCUGCGCCAUUUAUGGGCGAGGCUGUCAGUCUGUCGGUUUCUACUGACUUUGCCUUUUAAUACGUGGCUAUCAUUGCAAACAAAUCGACAAGAUGUGCUCGCUCUUUAAGAAAGCAGGAUAUUGCACAAAAACUCGCAUUCAUUUCUUGUGCGUAAAGCGCGCCCUCGACGCUAAGCUCUGGAAACCCUGUGGCACAAAGCACACAGCAGUAAUCUGAGAGCUUGGACGCCUGCCGCGAAAUGACUGCACCCACCUAACCAUUUAAGGUCGGAGAAAGAGUCUCAAACACUGUGUGGCAUUUCAAUCAGCAAGUACAAAGGGAAUAUCCAGUCCUCUGUGCUCUCUCUCUCGUCCCCCUUUCAAGAACAUUCGGCGCAGUUUAUUCGCCAGCCAUUUCAAAGGAGCAUUUGACGUGAUGCAUGCAGGAUUUGCGCACUGCUUAUAGCUUUCUCAGAUCUUCUGCUGAAUUUAUCACACUGUUGCAACACAUACCGGUAUGUGGUAUGCAAAUCGUCGUGUGUUCGCACAAUUUAUGGUAGUGUAAAUCUUCUCAGUUUAUUCGGAUAUUAUUAAUUCCCAAGUAAAUCAUCAGUGGAAUUUGAUUUUAUUAUUUUUUAAAUCUCUAUUUCCCCUUUUUCUGUGCGUUUUGGGGCGACGCCAAUUCCAAUUUAUCAAGCAGAAUUGUAUUGCGCAAGGAAACGCGCCAUCUGUUUUCCGCGGUUAGGAUUCACGCUUGGUCUCUGCAUGCACACCAUUACUAUUCUGUCUCUCUGCCAUAGUCUAAAGUAGGACUGGUGUCUGAAUAUGCUAGAAAAGAAGGACUGGAGACGUGGUGACCGAGGCUGAAGUGGGUCAUGAGGCCAUUUUAGUGCUGUUUAAUUAGGAAAAUCCUCUUUAUUUUCGUAUCCUCCGAACGUAAGCUGUUUCUAAGGGCAGGACAGAAGGGCUAAAACCAGAUCAUCAGUUUAUAUAUUUUAGCUAGUUGCAUUUUUUCUCUUUCAACUCUAUGUAUAGAGAUGUGCGCUUUCAUUUCUGUUCUGGAUAGCUGGAGAGGAUCUUCGACAUUAAUCAUAGGCUAUAAAUCUCAUAGAUCUUUAAGUAGGCUAUAUUUUUAUUUUAUUGGGAACAAUUCCCAGCACUAUAGCAAAAAAAAAAAUACAUUUUUUAAAAGUAUUCUGUAGGCUUUUUUAAAAUAAUUUUUAAAACGUUAUGGAAACAUGUGAAAUAUUGCUUAAUGUAUACCAUGUCUGUCUUUAUUGUCUAUUAAUGCCAUUUUAAUGUCAAUCCACAUGAAAUCCGAGGAAAAGCAGCUGAUCCAUACACUGUUCUCAUUUGCAUUUCUCAC